AGCUCAGCCUAGCAGCUGGUGGCUGGGCUGAAAAUGGGGGCUGGGGCCUGACCCAGCUGGGUAAUUAAUUUGUCCUGAGUUCCUGGGGACAGCUCUCUGUCCUCACGGAGGGAUGACACACCUAUCCCAAUGCCCAGAAACAGGAAAGGUGCUGGGUAAAUAAACAGAAAGGCAAACAGGCCCAGCGCUCAGAAGCCAGCUGAACACUGUGCUUAUUAACUGGCUGGCUGACAUGGACUGACUGACAGUGAUGGGCUGGCUGGCUGACAUUGAUUCAUUGACACUGUCUGACCAACUGACUGACAGUGACUGGCUGACUGACACUGAUUGACAGACUGACACUGACAGACUAAUGGAUGAACACUGAUUGACCAACUAGCUGACAGACACAAUGAUUGGCCAACUCACAUUGGCUGACGGACACUGGCUGAUGGACACUGGCUGACUGAAACACUGGGUGGCUGACACUGGGUGACACACUGGCUGACUGACACUGCCUGACUGACACUGGCUGAGACUGGCUGACUGACACACUGGCUGACACAUGGGCUGGCUGACACUGGCUGGCUGACACACUGGCUGACAUUGGCUGACAGUGGCUGACACACUGGCUGACUGACACUGGCUGACUGACACACUGGCUGACUAACACUGGCUGACACUGGCUGGCUGACACACUGGCUGACAUUGGCUGACAGUGGCUGACACACUGGCUGACUGACACUGGGUGACUGACACUGGCUGACACUGGCUGACUGACACACUGGCUGACUAACACUGGCUGACACUGGCUGGCUGACACACUGGCUGACAUUGGCUGACAGUGGCUGACACACUGGCUGACUGACACUGGGUGACUGACACUGGCUGACACUGGCUGACUGACACACUGGCUGACUAACACUGGCUGACACUGGCUGGCUGACACACUGGCUGACAUUGGCUGACAGUGGCUGACACACUGGCUGACUGACACUGGGUGGCUGACACUGGCUGACUGACACACUGGCUGACUAACACUGGCUGACUGACACACUGGCUGACUGACACACUGGCUGAGUGGCACUAGCUGAUGAGGCUGAAGUGUGGCCAGGACCUGUGGCUGGCUGUUGAGAGUGAUUACUCAAAUAGAAUUAGCAAAUCACAAUGGUUUUGACUGUAUCUGCAGUCAGUCUUACUCCUGAAUAUAACAUAUAACAUAUGUGUGAUGACGCCAAGCCAGAUUAAGCCUCCAAAGUUAGGUUCACAGAGGGCAUUCCUGAAUGAGGCAGUUACAGAAACAUUUCCCCCAGAAAGAAGCCUGGGAAGCACAGGAAGCGGUAGAGGUUCCUCCCCUGACAGGGGUGAUUUCCCUGUCUGGCUCCUUGCUGUCUCUCGGAGGCUGUCUCCAGCUCUCAGUUCUUCAGAGCUCCGACUUCACAGCAAUCACCCCCCUGCAGUCCUCUGGGCUCUGUGUUUUGCUCCAUCACGACCCCUUUCCUCUCCCACUCUUCUCCAUCUGUUACCUCCAUGCCCCUCAAAUCUCCCCAUCCUUCAGAGCCCUCCCCUUGAACCUUCCUCCAGGGCAUCUGCCCAGGCCAUUCCAGUGCCAGGAGCCCUCGUUAUUCUCAGAUUGCUUCAAAGCUGU
rnacentral:lncRNA from 1 species